rnacentral:tRNA from 1 species
GCUGGGGUGGCUCAGUCGGUUGAGCGUCUGACUUCGACUCAGGUCAUGAUCUCGCAGCU